rnacentral:rRNA from 1 species
CUGCUGCCUUCCGUAGGAGUCUGGUCCGUGUCUCAGUACCAGUGUGGGGGACCUUCCUCUCAGAACCCCUAGACAUCGUCGCCUUGGUGGGCCGUUACCCCGCCAACAAGCUAAUGUCACGCAUGCCCAUCCGUCUCCGGAGUUGCCUCCUUUGGCCUAAAGAAGAUGCCUCCCCUCGGCCACAUGCGGUAUUAGGCCGGAUUUCUCCGGGUUAUCCCGCUGAAACGGGCAGGUUGCAUACGCGUUACUCACCCGUGCGCCGGUCGCCCGGG